GAAGAGUAUCAACGGACCUGUAUAGUCAGUAAGAAUUGAGGUUGAGCUGACCAGAGACAAGGGGUUAAAAAAAAAUGUGAGCCACUGUAGCAGCAUUCACUGUGGUCUUAAGAAGACUGUGUGCUAUUAACAAAAACCUAGGAUUUGUAAAGAGUCAAGACCAGGUUUAGACAGAAGAAGAAAGACAACCACAUUGUCUAAUGAUUCCUUGCCUGAAAAGCUCAUGAUGAAAAAAGAGUAAAGAAGAGCCACCACAGAGGGGAGAAUGUUCUAGCGUGUCCAGAAUCACGGAAGCAAAGGCAGAGGAGCUUUUCACACUGUCUUCAAUGAGGAGCAAGGCUUCCGGCAUGUUAAUGGGAAGUUCUACCAGUUCAUUACUGACUGAGUUUGCAGUGAGGGAACCAAAUCCUGGUCUUUGACCAAACAUGGCGAGCACUUUGUAGAAGAAGUCACAGCAAAGGAAGACUGGAGAAAUGCAGUUCUGGAGGGAGAAGGCUGCUG